UGGAACAGUUUUCACCCAUCUGCAUCCUCUUCUUACUUAUCAAACUGAAGGAGGAUGUAUAUUUAUAACCCCCUUCGAGAUACUGUGCGGAUUCAUGGUGCAAAGGCAGCGCGUGGCGUUUGUAUGCUAGGCAGGGCGAAGGAACGGGAUGGCUUGCGCACAAGAUGCACAGGCAUUGAGCGUAUCCGGAUGUAUCAAGUGAGGUCCCCUAAGGAUCUGUCCUGAAACCAGGUCGAUUCAGAAUCCUCACUAAUGACUCAGCUCAUAGAAAGGACAGUGCAGAAGGUGCCGAUGCUGGGGAAGGUUGCGAAUGCUUUGAAAGACUCUUUCAGAAUUCAGAACGGU